UGCCAGCCGCCGCGGUUAUACGAUGGGAUUAAAUAAAAUUGUUUGGUGGAAUUAAGUAGAGUUUAUUUUUAAAUAAUUUUUUGAUUAUAUUUUUUAGAGGUGAAAUUUUUAAACAUAUGUAGUAAUGAUUAUAAAAAAUUUUAUAUCUUUUGAAAUAAAGUUCUAAACUAGGAUUAGAUACCCUAUUAUUCUUUAUUGUUUAGUGCCCUGGGUAGUAGAGAUAUUUUUAAACCUAAAGAAUUUGGCGGUACUUCAUUCUUACUAGAGGAACCUGCUCUUGUAUCGAUAUUCCACGAUUAAAUUUACAUAUUUUUGUUUUCAGUUUGUAUACCGCCGUUGUCAGAUUAUUUUUAAAAAAUAUUAUCUAAUUAGUUUAUUACUAUGACAUCAGGUCAAGGUGCAGCCAAUAAAUGUGGGAGUAGUGGGUUACAAUAAUAUUAAAUUAUUACGGAUUAAUAAUUGUAUAAUUAUUAUAAAGGUGGAUUUAGUAGUAAAAUAGAAAUAAAAGGUUUAUAUGAAUUGAGCUCUGAAGUGUGUACACAUCGCCCGUCGCUCUCUCCUCUAAGGA
rnacentral:rRNA from 1 species